AUCAUUUAAAUCUGAUUCAUAAAGAAUAUUCCAUACUAACUAUUUUAUGAUGGAAGUGUAAAAUGUAAAAGCGCUGUUUUUCUGGAUGGAGUCUUGCUCAGUUUGUGUCCUGAUGUUUCUUGUUGUGUGAAGACUGGUUCUGUAAAUAAGAUGUUCUUUGGAGCUGGAACCAGUUUAACCAUUGAACCCAUGUCUGGUUCAUAGUUUCUGUCGCGCUGCAUCUUGUUGUGUGAAUACUGGAGGACGAUUUAAAAUGACCUUUGGCACUGGGACCAGUUUAACCAUUGAACCCAGUAAGUAACGAUAUCAUUUAUUAAUAGUUAUUAUGCCAACGUUCUUUGGAAACGAAACUGACUUGUGAAAUGAAAACAGUCAACAUAUAGAUCACAAAUAUUUAAAAUAAACUCUAUUCACCAGGACUCACUGAUCAUGAUAUCAGAAAAGUAAAUCGGAAUAAUCAAUUAGCAUUAAUUAACGACAUCAACAAUUUCUACUGUAGAGAAAACAUUUGAAAUCUAAAAACGCCUUUUUUCUGAAUGGAGUCUGGUUGUGUUUGUGUUGUGGGUAAAUCAAUACAAGAUCAUCUUUGGAGACGGAACCAGUUCAAACAUUGAACCCAGUAAGUUCUGAUAAUAUAGAUUUUAUAGUAUAGAUGUUACAUAUAUAUAAAUACACACAUAACCCAGAGUUUAUAGAAUCAAAAUCAAUACAUCAAACCUCACUGAUAUUAAUCAAUACUUAGAGCAUCGUCACUUUGACAGUAAGGCCCGCUCUAUUCAUAACAUAUAUGGUAUGUAAAUAUUUUAUGAAUAAAGUACCAACACCAUCUUAUAUGUAAUAAUAAUAUGUAUCAUAUAUAAUAAUAAUUCAGAUGAAAGUAUUAAAUGUUAAAUGGGGGAUUUUCUGAGUGGAGUCUGGUGGAGUUUGUGUCCUGAUGCUUCUUACUGUGUGAAUACUGGAAACAGGUUGAUCUUUGGAACUGGCACCAGUUUAACCAUUGAACCCAAAAGUGGUCCUCAUGUUUCUGAAGUGGAGUCGGGUUGAGUUUGUGUCCCGAUGCUUCUUGUUGUGUGAAUACUGGAUACAAGAUGAUGUUUGGAACUGGAACCAGUUUAACCAUUGAACCCAAGUCUGCUUCAUAGUUUCUGUCGCGCUGCGUCUUGUUGUGUGAAUGCUGGAGGAGGAUUUAAAAUGACCUUCGGCACUGGGACCAGUUUAACCAUUGAACCCAGUAAGUAACAAUUUAAUUCAUUAAAAGUUAUUAUGCCAACAAUCUUUGUAAACAAAACUGACUUGUACACAGUCAAAAUAGUCAAAAAUCACAAAUAUUUAAAAUAAACUCACCUCAAAUUCACCAGGACUCACUGAUCAUGAUAUCAGAAAAAGUAAAUCAGAAUAAUCAAUUAGCAUUAAUUAAAGACAUCAACAAUUUCUACUGUAGAGAAAACAUUUGAAAUCUGAAAACGGCUUUUUCUGAAUGGAGUCUGGUUGUGUUUGUGUUGUGGGUAAAUCAAUACAAGAUCAUCUUUGGAGACG
ensembl:lncRNA